rnacentral:rRNA from 1 species
GACGAACCGUGCGAACGUUGUUCGGAAUCACUGGGCUUAAAGGGCGCGUAGGCGGGCUUGCAAGUCUGCGGUGAAAGCCUCCAGCUUAACUGGAGAAGUGCCGUGGAUACUGCGAGCCUCGAGGAGGGUAGGGGCGUCUGGAACGUUGGGUGGAGCGGUGAAAUGCGUUGAUAUCCAACGGAACUCCGGUGGCGAAGGCGAGGCGCUGGGACCCUUUCUGACGCUGAGGCGCGAAAGCCAGGGGAGCGGAACGGG